GAUGAACGCUGGCGGCGUGCCUAAUACAUGCAAGUCGGACGAACAGACGAGGAUCUUGCUCCUCUGACGUUAGCGGCGGACGGGUGAGUAACACGUGGAUAACCUACCUAUAAGACUGGGAUAACUUCGGGAAACCGGAUCUAAUACCGGAUAAGAUAUUGAACCGCAUUGUGCAAUAGUGAAAGACGGCUGUGCUGGCACGUAUAGAUGGAUCCGCGCCGCGUUAGCUAGUUGGUAAGGUAACAGCUUACCAAGGGAACGAUGCGUAGGCGACCUCAUAGGGUGGUAGGCCACCCGGGAGCUGAGACACCCUCCUGACGCCUGCGGGAGGCAGCAGUCUGGUAUCGUCCGCAGUGGGCGGAAGCAUUGCGGAGUAACGCGGCGUGAGUGAUGAAGGCCUUCCGAGCGUAAAGCUGUGUUAUUGGUGAAGAACAACUGUGUACUUUACUAUGCACGUAUUGACGGUACCUAAUAAGAAAGCCCCGGCUAACUACGUG
rnacentral:rRNA from 1 species